UUAAAUUGAAGAGUUUGAUCAUGGCUCAGAUUGAACGCUGGCGGCAGGCCUAACACAUGCAAGUCGAACGGUAACAGGAAGCAGCUUGCUGCUUCGCUGACGAGUGGCGGACGGGUGAGUAAUGUCUGGGAAACUGCCUGAUGGAGGGGGAUAACUACUGGAAACGGUGGCUAAUACCGCAUAACGUCGCAAGACCAAAGAGGGGGACCUUCGGGCCUCUUGCCAUCAGAUGUGCCCAGAUGGGAUUAGCUAGUUGGUGAGGUAACGGCUCACCAAGGCGACGAUCCCUAGCUGGU
rnacentral:rRNA from 1 species